AACGCACAUUGCGCCCCUUGGUAUUCCGGGGGGCACACCUGUUCGAGCGCCAUUUCACCCCUCGAGCCCUGCUCGGUGAUGGGCCACGUCCUCGCGGACGGGCCCGAAACUCGUAGGCGCCAUCGUCCGGCCCUAAGCGUAGCAAGAGAAAUCCCUCGCUUGGUGGACCGUCUGGUGGCAGCCCCGACAACUUUUUUUUUACAAGGUUGGCCUCGGAUCAGGUGGGGAUACCCGCUGAACUUAA
rnacentral:misc_RNA from 1 species